GCGGUGUUGCUGAGGAAUCUUAUGGUAUUAUUCUUAUAAUUUUUUAAGGGAAAAGUAUAAAAAAAGUGCCAUGUGGUUUAGGCUAUUUUCAACUAGGAUCCUUUGGUUUGACUUUUCACAAACAAGUACUCGGGGUUUCUUCCGUUAGCAAAGUGCAUCCAUCUUCCCUAAUGCCAUCUACUAAUGUUGAUUUGAAAUUACAUAUAUUAUUAAAUGUAUUUUUUAAUUAUAAAGGUGGGUCCCAUGUGAAAUAAAAUUAAAAAAAAGAAUGAAGGAACCUCCUGCCACAAUGACACCCUUGAAUUGAUCAAGGGCUCUCUCUGUCUCUCUCCCCAUCUUUCUCUCCCCUUAUUUGACCCAAUUCAGGGAGAAAUCUUUCUGUCUCUUCUCUUUCCACUAUCAUUAUUUAGUUUUGAUCUUCUACUCCUAGGGCUUAGCAUUUGGUUGGUUCGGUUCAAAACUGAACAGAAUCGAAUAAACUGAAAACUAAAUUUCAUAUAAAUUUGAAAAUCGAACUGAACUGAACUAUGAAAGCAACCGAACCAAAUUAAACUGAAAAAAAUCGGUUCGGUUCAGUUCAAAAAUUUGGUUUUCCCAAUCUUCAUUCUUUCCAACUUCCCUUAGAAGCUCAAAUCUGUCCAGUGUUCCGUGCUUCACAAUUAAAGGUGGUAGGAGAUCAUAGAACUACAGCAGAGUUGCCAUCUGAAAUGGCAGUGGAUGUAUACUUCUCUUAGUCUAUUGUGGAACCUGAGGAAAAUUAAUUUUAUACAUAUACUUUUCAAUAUUUUUUUAAAAAUUGAUCCUUCAGAAUAUAACUCAAAUUCUUUUAGGUUGCAUUUGGACAGGUGGGGAUUUAAAAUGAAAGCAUUUGGACUUGACAUUAUAGUUAAAUCUCUUAACAUAAUAUUUACAAGAAAUAUUUAACCACCAAGGGCCUUUUUCCUUUGGCCAAAAAUACCCAUCUUCUUGGUGCAGGAUUAAUGAUUUUAACCUUAAGUUUCCAAGUUAGCUUCUUCCUCUCUGGGUGUCCAAUAGAUGCAUCAUCAUAGUUCCUUUUUGUCAAAUAAGAGUAUAAAAUUUUUUUAAUCUAGAAAAUGGAGAGGGGUUCUCAUUCCAUUUCCUUGUUGAGAUUAGUAGGAGAAUGUGUCAAUGUUGUCUGUAAAUAACAUAGUUAUUAAUGGCUCAAGGUGCACUAAGGCGCCA
rnacentral:misc_RNA from 1 species